CCUACUCCUAGAAAUAUUGCAGGUGUGGCUGCUGUGUUACAUGUGCGUCAGUAGGUGGCAAAGAGGAGAGAAGCUAUGUCUGUGCUCAGUGUUCGGAUCUAUGAACAUCUGAAUAAUUAGUAGCCUAAUAUU